ACGAACGCUGGCGGCGUGGAUAAGACAUGCAAGUCGAACGAGAGAAUUGCUAGCUUGCUAAUAAUUCUCUAGUGGCGCACGGGUGAGUAACACGUGAGUAACCUGCCCCCGAGAGCGGGAUAGCCCUGGGAAACUGGGAUUAAUACCGCAUAGUAUCGAAAGAUUAAAGCAGCAAUGCGCUUGGGGAUGGGCUCGCGGCCUAUUAGUUAGUUGGUGAGGUAACGGCUCACCAAGGCGAUGACGGGUAGCCGGUCUGAGAGGAUGUCCGGCCACACUGGAACUGAGACACGGUCCAGACACCUACGGGUGGCAGCAGUCGAGAAUCAUUCACAAUGGGGGAAACCCUGAUGGUGUGACGCCGCGUGGGGGAAUGAAGGUCUUCGGAUUGUAAACCCCUGUCAUGUGGGAGCAAAUUAAAAAGAUAGUACCACAAGAGGAAGAGACGGCUAACUCUGUGCCAGCAGCCGCGGUAAUACAGAGGUCUCAAGCGUUGUUCGGAAUCACUGGGCGUAAAGCGUGCGUAGGCUGUUUCGUAAGUCGUGUGUGAAAGGCGCGGGCUCAACCCGCGGACGGCACAUGAUACUGCGAGACUAGAGUAAUGGAGGGGGAACCGGAAUUCUCGGUGUAGCAGUGAAAUGCGUAGAUAUCGAGAGGAACACUCGUGGCGAAGGCGGGUUCCUGGACAUUAACUGACGCUGAGGCACGAAGGCCAGGGGAGCGAAAGGGAUUAGAUACCCCUGUAGUCCUGGCAGUAAACGGUGCACGCUUGGUGUGCGGGGAAUCGACCCCCUGCGUGCCGGAGCUAACGCGUUAAGCGUGCCGCCUGGGGAGUACGGUCGAAAGAUUAAAACUCAAAGAAAUUGACGGGGACCCGCACAAGCGGUGGAGUAUGUGGCUUAAUUCGAUGCAACGCGAAGAACCUUACCUGGGCUUGACAUGUAAUGAACAACAUGUGAAAGCAUGCGACUCUUCGGAGGCGUUACACAGGUGCUGCAUGGCCGUCGUCAGCUCGUGUCGUGAGAUGUUUGGUUAAGUCCAGCAACGAGCGCAACCCCUGUUGCCAGUUACCAGCACGUGAAGGUGGGGACUCUGGCGAGACUGCCCAGAUCAACUGGGAGGAAGGUGGGGACGACGUCAGGUCAGUAUGGCCCUUAUACCCAGGGCUGCACACGUACUACAAUGCCCAGUACAGAGGGGGCCGAAGCCGCGAGGCGGAGGAAAUCCUGAAAACUGGGCCCAGUUCGGACUGUAGGCUGCAACCCGCCUACACGAAGCCGGAAUCGCUAGUAAUGGCGCAUCAGCUACGGCGCCGUGAAUACGUUCCCGGGUCUUGUACACACCGCCCGUCACAUCAUGGAAGCCGGUCGCACCCGAAGUAUCUGAAGCCAACCGCAAGGAGGCAGGGUCCUAAGGUGAGACUGGUAACUGGGAUG
rnacentral:rRNA from 1 species